rnacentral:rRNA from 1 species
AAAUUGAAGAGUUUGAUCAUGGCUCAGAUUGAACGCUGGCGGCAGGCCUAACACAUGCAAGUCGAACGGUAACAGGAAGCGCUUGCUGCUUCGCUGACGAGUGGCGGACGGGUGAGUAAUGUCUGGGAAACUGCCUGAUGGAGGGGGAUAACUACUGGAAACGGUAGCUAAUACCGCAUAACGUCGCAAGACCAAAGAGGGGGACCUUCGGGCCUCUUGCCAUCGGAUGUGCCCAGAUGGGAUUAGCUUGUUGGUGGGGUAACGGCUCACCAAGGCGACGAUCCCUAGCUGGUCUGAGAGGAUGACCAGCCACACUGGAACUGAGACACGGUCCAGACUCCUACGGGAGGCA